CCUACGGGAGGCAGCAGUGGGGAAUAUUGCACAAUGGUGGAAACCCUGAUGCAGCAACGCCGCGUGAGUGAAGAAGUAUUUCGGUAUGUAAAGCUCUUUCAGCCGGGAAGCAGAUGACGGUACCUGAAUACGAAGCACCGGCUAACUACGUGCCAGCAGCCGCGGUAAUAAGUCGGGGGCAAGCGUUAUCCGGAUUUACUGGGUGUAAAGGGGGCGCAGACGGCAGUGCAAGUCUGGAGUGAAAGCCCGGGGCCCAACCCCGGAACUGCUCGGGAAACUGGGCGGCUAGAGUACUGGAGGGGCAGGCGGAAUGCCGAGUGUAGCGGUGAAAUGCAUAGAUAUUAGGAGGAACACCAGUGGCGAAGGCGGCCUGCUGGACAGUAACUGACGUUGAGGCUCGAAAGCGUGGGGAGCAAACAGGAUUAGAUACCCGGGUAGUC
rnacentral:rRNA from 1 species